UAUGGAACUGCUGAAGCAAGUAACUAAUUAUCACCACAGCAGUUCUUUCUAAUCACUGAAAAAGGAUACUGUUGUCUGAGAAGGAUGUCAAAAGAUCGGCCCAGCUCAGGGUGCAGUUUGCACUACUAGCUCCUUGGACAGCUGUAAGAAGAGUCUCUGGCUCUUUAGAAUACUGGAUGAAUUCUGAGCUGGUUCCCCCCGACUCAAGAGGAAGGAUGGAUCAGGUUUAGGUGGAGUGAAGGCUGCACUGGACAGCAUCCAAAGGACAUUCCAAGCAUAUCAGACCUGAAGACUGCAAGCAACUUUAAGAAGCUCCAUAUUCAGCAGGUCUUUCCUUUUGAGAAUCUGAAUAAGCUCCAAGCAAUCUAAUAGGAUGGCUUGCAGUUUCCCUGGAGAAAAAGAUCUACCUCAAAAGAAUAGGCCUGUUGCUUUACAGUGUUAGUGACCCAUUCCCUUUGACGAUUCCCAGGUGGAGAUGGGGCAUGAGGAUCCUCCAGGGGAAAGAUUCACUACCACUGAGCAACAACUCUAGGCCAGGAGGUUAUACCAAGAUUCUUUCCUGGGCCCAGUUAAGAAGGUGAAGUCUCAAGACAACCACCACACAUCCAGAGCUCCUGGUUGUUCCCUUCAUAUUUGCCAAAUCAUUAUCUUUCCUUGAAGCAGUGCAAAGAGCAAGAAAUGUGAACACACCAAGGAAGAUCAACAUGCCUGGCAUGCUAGCCUUUUAGAAUAGCAGAAUGAAUGUGUAUUUGUUUGCUUGUCUAUUUCUUCUUUGAAUGUCUUUGGUCUUUCUUGUCUAAAGUAUGUCUUACCCAUUUCCAUGAUUCUCUUGCUAGUUUCUUCUCUGUAUAUCUUUGUCUCGUUUACUUUUUUGUACCCAGGAAUGGUCUGUGUCUUGUCUUGAAUGUCUCUCUCUAGUUUUCUUCAUUUUGUUGCUGAUUCUACUUGCUCUGCUAGAUCUAGCUCUUCUUUCACUGUUCUCUUUGAGUCUCUUGAGUUAUGUGUGCCUUGUGCUCAUUUCUUGCUAUGCCUGCCUCUCUUCUUUUUCUCUUUGUGAACUCUGUCACCCAUUCCCCUUGUUGGUUUGACAUUUCACCUUUUCUGAUACUGGCUACCCUUCUGCUGUUUCUACUCUUUAUCUUGCAUAUUUCUCUUUUCUACAUAUUCUUUGUGCCUUUCUUGGGCCAUUUUCUCUUUUUUUCCCCAUGCUUUGUGUGCCCCAGUGUCUCUUUGUUCUUUGUGGUUUUCAGUUUCAGCAUUCAUCUCUGUUCUCUUGGUUCUUCUCUCGUUUUGCCUUUCUAUUCACUUUUGAGUAUUUCUUUAGUCUAUGUCUCCCCCUCUUCGAUUUCAUGCAAUUCUCUCUCCUUGCAUAUUUUUUUGUGCAUGUGUGUGUGUGUGUGUGCUCUUUUGUGUGUUUGUAAAGGCGCCUCCUAACUGCUUCCAGUAGGUGCAGAGUGUCAGCUAUCAAAAUAAGCAUUGCAGAGCUGUUCCUUAUGCCAGGCCGCCCUGUGAGAUGAACCAAAACCAACAGAAGGUCCAAGGGUCUAGACUGGAGUUGGAUAGAAGACUCAAGUCUCAGUGAGACAGAAGGCCAAAGACCCAGGAUGGGAUUAAAAAAACCUGUCUUGAAGACCUGUGACCCAAAAGAUGGAAGCGCCCUAGCACAUAUAAAGACCCAGGACUCAAACCUAUCUACAUAAGACAGAAGGCCCAAGAGAGACAGAUAUUUCAAGACUAAAUUAGAUGGAAACUGGAGGUUCAUGACAGAGAUACCAGGAUAGAAAGAAGCCCCAGGACCAAAGGAAAUUCCAAGAUGAGACUCUUAAACCCCAGCUCUUUUCUAUUGCUAACCCUACUCUUGGACAUUUUGAGUUCUCCCUUCCUUCUUCUCAUGUCUCCAUUUAUAUCUACUUCUUUUGAGAUGUCCUUUUUGAUGUUGCUGUUACCUUUAAAAAAAAACAUAGCUUUAGAUCAGUAACAUUAUGCUUUGGCCUGUUUUUAUUACAGUUUUGAGCCACUUGUUAAGUUUUUGAAGUUUUAAACUUCCAUUUCUCUUCACCUCCUCUCCACUUGAGAGGGACACAUAGCUGACAUUAUAUUUCAGUCCCCUCUUUCCUCAGAAGCUCUAGGCUGAUGAGAGAAGGAAAGUAUCAGGUUCAGUUAUUGAGGGGAAACAAAGUGCCAAGCUAAGUAGAGAAAAUGUGAAGAGAUGCUCCACAGGCCAAUGAGAAUUAGACAAGAAAUACACAGAUGUGCCAGUUUGCUGAGAAGCGUGAGCCAGCAACAUGUUACUUAUUUGAGAUUGGGUGAGCAGGACACCUGAGGUUUGGGAUUCUUACUGAUGGUUAUGAAGGAGGAUUGGGCCUAACACAUAAUGAGGCCCCAAGGA